GGCGACGUAGCCAAGUGGUAAGGCGGGGGACUGCAAAUCCCUUAUUCGGCGGUUCGAAUCCGCCCGUCGCCUCCA
rnacentral:tRNA from 1 species